CACAAACCAGGGGCACGGGCUCCGGCUCCCGGCGCGGCAGCACCGGUAUUUCCUGCUCCUGCUUCCUCUCUGCGUGUUUACGGGAACAUAAUCUGCAAGUGCAAGCUCUCCCAAGCACUUCUCUGACACAGCCAAAGAAGUUUUCAUCAUGGAGAUUACGUAGUUUCACACAGCACACAGCAGAGACAAACGCGCUGUUCAGGGAUAAUUAAUGCUCCGACAGCCAGCAGCAGCUAUGGCUCACGCUGCUGGGAAAGCCAAGCACAUUCAUCAAAAGAGUAUCGCAACAAGGACGUGAAUGCCUCAUUCACCACCACAAAGCUCUCCAGCUCUUCUACCACGGCCCAGUCCCCAAAAGUGAAUUGAAUUCAAGUGGGGCUACUCACAUGCUUAAAUAUACACGUACGCUUAAAAUAGUUUCAGAGUGGGAUCCAGUCCAGCUGGCACCAGGAGCAGACUCAUUAGUGGGUUAUCUGGACGUGCAGCUGGAGGGGGAGAAAGGCUCCCGUUGUGGUCCUGAGAAACCGAGGACCUGGUUACCCAUGCUGCGAGGUCAGGAGGUACCGAGGGACACAGCGACAGCCAGCGGGGCUGGUUGGCCUCACACCCCGGGCAACGACGACAAAAGCAACGCUCACAGUUAGUGCUUCUGCACUACGAGGUAACCACAAAAUAAAGUGGAAGGAUUUUGCGAAGGAAAAGAACCAAGCUACGGAUUAAGCACUGGAAAUGACACAAAGCCAUAGGUUGUCACGGAACCAACGCGCCAGGUGGCCAGGCAGGACUGUGGUAGAAGCAGUCGCCCCAGCGCCAUUUUGAGCGGUGAGGAGGCGAGGCCACCGCGGCCGCCAUUUUGUGAGGGAGGAGGGCUGAGCAUGGGCUCUCUUGGGCAUGGGGCACCUCAGAAGCAGAUGCACUCACAGCUUGGCCCAGAUGGCCCAAAACCUACGUGGGGUCCCCACAGCACGACCACAAGAUGCCAUCGGCUCUGCUCAGAGCAGCCAGAUAUCAUGGCUAAACCAGCCGGUGUGGUUUCUUGAAGGAAACCUGUGAAAUGCGUUACACAGAAUAGAGCAUGUUCCUGCAGAGCGUAGGAACGGAGGUCUAAAACCCAUGACCUACUGAGGAAGAUCAAAUGAACGGGAGCUAUUUGACCUAAGGACAUCUUCUGACAGAACAAAAGGCCAAGUUCAAAGAUCACCCAGCGAUGAUCUGUUCAGCCAGCUCACGGUAGCUGGGUUGAGCAUUAAAACACUUCCCACCACAGCAAAAGCUACUCAAGCCAGACAGGAGCAAAAAUCUAACAGAGAAGUGAAGCACAGGCAAAGCUUUCCUUGUCCUCAGUGAAGUCCUGCAGUCCCGGUUAGAUGAGGACCCCUGAGAAACACAAGGAGCGGAGUUGCCUUCGCACCCAUCCAGCUGAAACUUCUCAAGGUCCCCAAUAUACCGAACAGCAACGUGCAAUAAUAGCAAACAUUCACAAAAUGCAAAACCUAAAGAGAAUGGGCUGAAAUAAUUACGUCUCUCUAAAAGAGUCACCUGGAGAUGGGAGUUGGAAGGCUGAGGUACUCCUUUCAUCCAGCUCACGUGAAGCAAAGGCUGCAAAAAAAUGGUUCAGGUCUUUGUUGUGAUAGCACGGCAGCAACACCUGCUAGGAGGUGACUGCAGCUGUGCCCUACUGCAUGGACACCAGGAUGUCAUGGGAGCAUCCUCUGCAUGCCAUGAGGAACAUCUGCUCCUCUCGCUGCUCGGACACAGCUAAGCUUUGCAAUGAUCAGUCUGUCCCCUUUCCAUAGGUGUGGGAGCCUCCAAGUAGUGCUCGAGAGCUCCAACUCGUUUUUGCAAUUCAUCAGCAAACACUUUAUCUUGUUAAUCUGAAAAGCUGGAAAGAGCAUAACUGUCUUUAAGAUUUAUUUAUAGCAGAAAUUUUGGGGAGAGGGGAAAUGUAAAACAAAAUUCCUUCAAGUCAAGAGCAUACUUUGCUAAUGUGACAUGAUUAAUGACAAGGAUGAAAUUAUAUUAAUGGAGAAAUUUAUUAAAGUAUACUUUGAAAAUUUCAUAA